UGCAGAAGCGGGAAUACCUCCAUAAGACGAGAAGACCCUAUGGAGCUUUAGACAUCAAGCAGCCCACUAAAAAUAAACCGCCCCAAUGGACUCAAACGCCGUGGAACCCUGCUGAACUGUCUUCGGUUGGGGCGACCGUGGGAUACAGAAAACCUCCCAUGAGGACCGGGAAAACUUCCCAAAACCAAGGGCUACUGCCCUAAGCAACAGAAUCUCUGACCUUAAUGAUCCGGCUCACCAGCCGAUCAACGGACCGAGUUACCCUAGGGAUAACAGCGCAAUCCCCUCCUAGAGCCCCCAUCGACGAGAGGGUUUACGACCUCGAUGUUGGAUCAGGACAUCCUAAUGGUGCAGCCGCUAUUAAGGGUUCGUUUGUUCAACGAUUAAAGUCCU
rnacentral:rRNA from 1 species